rnacentral:lncRNA from 1 species
CGCGUGGGGCGCGGCGAGAGCAGUCAGCCACCCGGGCACUGGGCGCGGCGGGGCGGGCCGGACGCAGAGCGCCCUCCCGGCACGGCUGUUUGUCCAGCAGCCUGCAGCGCUCCUAGGCGCCGCUGCUUUUCCCCACUCUGCCCUUCAGCGACAGCCUCUGGCGGCCCAAGUGGACGUGGCAGGUUGUCCGGUCACCUGCCCAGGCGGUUGGUCAGAAGGGGACAGCAGUGGAAUAAGUGGCUGGUGAAUAAACAUCGGCACCAGGGCCACUGUGGCUGUCAGAGCCCUGCUGUCCCUCCUGGCUGGGAUGUUUUCG